CCUAGUACUUUAGCGGCAGUACCUUUGGCUCAGUGCCCUCCACCAAAGACCAGCCCCCAUGGCUGAGAUCUGGCCUUUCACUCUUACUCCUAAGUGGGCACAGAAAUAACCACUUUCUAGAAGAAAGCCAGUUCCUUCUCCAAGAAUUUAGCUGCUCUGCCAUGGGAAGGGACAUGGCAAUCAAAGGAGCCCAAAAGCAGCUGGCACCUGACCCAGGCUAUUGGCAAAUGCAUUUUCUACUGGCCCAUCAAACUGGUGAGAAACAGAAUCAUCUCAGGAGGAGAGUGAGGUGGCAAUCACAAAUGUGAAUGAGUGGCAAGUCAAAAUCCAGCUAUUAACACAGGAGGUUCACUGGGGAAGUCGGAAAGAAAAGCACAUUGGCAUUCACAUUAGGCAGAAAAGGACCCACGGAGCUGUUAGAAAACCCAGAGGGAAAUAGAAGCUAAAGAACUUUUCCUACUAACACACUAAUGAUGUUUAUCUGCACACAGCCUGCUUUUGUGCUAGUACUUUAUAUACAAUUUAGGGGCCAUUAAACUUUAAUUUAAGAUAAUUCAUUAGAAA